CAACGGCCCACCAAGGCGACGACGGGUAGCCGGCCGAGAGGGCGACCGGCCACACUGGGACUGAGACACGGCCCAGACUCCUACGGGAGGCAGCAGUGGGGAAUAUUGCGCAAUGGGCGAAAGCCUGACGCAGCGACGCCGCGUGGGGGAUGAAGGCCUUCGGGUUGUAAACCCCUUUCAGCAGGGACGAAGCGAAAGUGACGGUACCUGCAGAAGAAGCGCCGGCUAACUACGUGCCAGCAGCCGCGGUAACACGUAGGGCGCAAGCGUUGUCCGGAAUUAUUGGGCGUAAAGAGCUCGUAGGCGGUCUGUUGCGUCCGCUGUGAAAACUCGGGGCUUAACCCCGAGCCUGCAGUGGAUACGGGCAGACUAGAGGUAGGUAGGGGAGAAUGGAAUUCCCGGUGUAGCGGUGAAAUG
rnacentral:rRNA from 1 species